AACGCACAUUGCGCCCGUCAGCAUUCUGGCGGGCAUGCCUGUUCGAGCGUCAUUUCAACCCUCGGGCCCCCUCCGCAGUCGCGGCGGCGGGCCUGGCGUUGGGGAUCGGCCGCUGCCUCCGGGCGGCAUGGCCGGCCCCGAAACCCAGUGGCGGUCCCGCUGUAGCCUCCUCUGCGUAGUAGCACACCUCGCACUGGAAACCAGCUAGGCCACGCCGUAAAACCCCCGACUUCGCAAGGUUGACCUCGGAUCAGGUAGGAAUACCCGCUGAACUUAA
rnacentral:misc_RNA from 1 species